rnacentral:miRNA from 1 species
CUGAAUUGGCCAAAAAGUUUGUUUGAGUUUUUCUGUCACACUGUAUGUUAAAACGCAAAUGAACUUUGUGGCCAAGCCAA